rnacentral:rRNA from 1 species
AAUGAACGCUGGCGGCGCGCCUAAUACAUGCAAGUCGAGCGAGAAGACGUAGCAAUACGUUUGUAAAGCGGCGAACGGGUGAGGAAUACAUGGGUAACCUACCCUCGAGUGGGGAAUAACUAGCCGAAAGGUUAGCUAAUACCGCGUACGCUUCUUGGACUUCGGUUCAGGGAGGAAAGCGAUGCCGAGGGUAUCGCGCUCUUGGAUGGGCUCAUGUCCUAUCAGCUUGUUGGNGAGGUAACGGCUCACCAAGGCUUCGACGGUAGCUGGUCUGAGAGGACGAUCAGCCACACUGGCACUGCGACACGGGCCAGACUCCGUACGGGAGGCAGCAGUAAGGAAUAUUGCGCAAUGGGCGAAAGCCUGACGCAGCGACGCCGCGUGGGGGAUGAAGUC